AAAUAAGAAGCGAUUUAUUGCAUUCAGUUUCGACCUGAAAUCUAGAUGAACUUCAUCCUUAUUUU
rnacentral:tRNA from 1 species